rnacentral:rRNA from 1 species
UGGGGAAUAUUGGACAAUGGACCGAGAGUCUGAUCCAGCAAUUCUGUGUGCACGAUGAAGUUUUUCGGAAUGUAAAGUGCUUUCAGUUGGGAAGAAAGAAAUGACGGUACCAACAGAAGAGGUGACGGCUAAAUACGUGCCAGCAGCCGCGGUAAUACGUAUGUCACGAGCGUUAUCCGGAUUUAUUGGGCGUAAAGCGCGUCUAGGUCGUUAUGUAAGUCUGAUGUGAAAAUGCAGGGCUCAACUCUGUAUUGCGUUGGAAACUGUAUAACUAGAGUACUGGAGAGGUAAGCGGAACUACAAGUGUAGAGGUGAAAUUCGUAGAUAUUUGUAGGAAUGCCGAUGGGGAAGCCAGCUUACUGGACAGAUACUGACGCUAAAGCGCGAAAGCGUGGGUAGCAAACAGGAUUAGAUACCCUGGUAGUCCACGCUGUAAACGAUGAUUACUAGGUGUUGGGGGUCGAACCUCAGCGCCCAAGCAAACGCGAUAAGUAAUCCGCCUGGGGAGUACGUACGCAAGUAUG